UAAGGUCCCAAAUUACUACUAAGUGGGAAACGAUGUGGGAAGGCUCAGACAGCCAGGAUGUUGGCUUAGAAGCAGCCAUCAUUUAAAGAAAGCGUAAUAGCUCACUGGUCGAGUCGGCCUGCGCGGAAGAUGUAACGGGGCUAAGUAGUAAACCGAAGCUGCGGCAAUGUGCUUUUGCACAUUGGGUAGGGGAGCGUUCUGUAAGCGGUUGAAGGUGUGUGGUAACGCAUGCUGGACGUAUCAGAAGUGCGAAUGCUGACAUGAGUAACGAUAAAGGGGGUGAAAAACCUCCUCGCCGGAAGACCAAGGGUUCCUGUCCAACGUUAAUCGGGGCAGGGUAAGUCGACCCCUAAGGCGAGGCCGAAAGGCGUAGUCGAUGGGAAACGGGUUAAUAUUCCCGUACUUCUUACAAUUGCGAUGGGGGGACGGAGAAGGCUAGGUGGGCCUGGCGACGGUUGUCCAGGUUCAAGUGCGUAGGCUGAAGAGUUAGGUAAAUCCGGCUCUUUCUAAGGCUGAGACACGACGUCGAGCACCUACGGGUGUGAAGUCAUUGAUGCCAUGCUUCCAGGAAAAGCCUCUAAGCUUCAGAUUGUAAGGAAUCGUACCCCAAACCGACACAGGUGGUCGGGUAGAGAAUACCAAGGCGCUUGAGAGAACUCGGGUGAAGGAACUAGG
rnacentral:rRNA from 1 species